UUCUGAUUUAGUGGGUCUGGGGAUGGGGCCUGGGGUUCCGCAUUUCUAACAAGCUUCCAGGUGGAUGUCAAUGCUGCUGAUCUGUGGACUGUUCUAGAAUAGCAAAGAGAUCCAGUAGCCCCUAAAUUAAAUCGUAUGUAUCCAAUUCCUUUAAAGAAGGUAGGGAUGGACUGACUGGGGGAAGAGUGGGGAUAGAAAAAAAGGAGAAGAAUAAAUAAAAACAAAAACCACCAUACACACAAAUAUAAACAGCCUAAUUAUCUACAUUGCUUCAGUUUGAUGAUUUAUCAUUCCCGAGUAAUUGAUGCCGAUAAUACAAAUUUUGUCAUAUUUUUGUAAUACAACUUGGCUUUUGGUAAAGCAAUUGGAGUUCAAAUACAUGAUCCUUUAAAGUGCUGAAUAUGGAACACGCAUGUGCACGUACACCCACACACCCACACACACAAACACACACACACACACACACAAUGUUGCCAGUCAGAGCUGCCUGCUCUUCUGUAUAUGUGAGGCCUCAUAAUUUUCCCCGAAGGAUACAAAUAACCAUGUCGUUAAACAUAAGAGUUUUGCCAUAGGCAGGGCAGGGGAUAGAGGACUGAUAUUCAACAGAAAUUUCAACACUGUGGCCUCGUACCUCACUUGGGGAGCUGGGGUUCAGGAAGAAUUCCUUCAACAAUAAGAUCAAGUGAAAAGAUUCAUUGGAAAGUAUUGGAAGUAUUUUGCAAACUAUGGAGUGUUGGAUAAGUGCUACUUGCUAUUAUUUUUUCCUGUUUGCAUUUGAUUUGCUGUAUUUUGUUUCAUUUAAAAAUAUCUUUUUGAGUUGUUGCUGGUUCAUGCAAUUCAUGCUGGUUUUAUUGUAAUUUGCCAAUAUGCAUCAAAACUAAAAAUUAAAAGUGUUCGUAUACUCCAAUCUAGCAAAUCCAUGGACUGAAAUGAAUUCUACCUAAACCCUUAUGUAAAUGUGGAGAGAGAUAUGUAUGAGGAAGGUCAUUGCAUUAUUGCUUGGAUGGAAAAAAAUCUGAAAACGCCUAAAUGUCCUUCAAUGGGACUGGCUCUGUGUGUAAUGGCACACCCAUAGAGUGAAAUAUUCUGUUGCUACAACCUCCAAAUGAGGUGCAACUGAAGUAUGAGCGUAGAAAGAUAUCCUGAAUAUAAAUGUAGUUAUGUUUAAAAAGAAAAAAGGAAAAAGAAAACACAAAGAAGAUGUCCUGAAAUUGGGUUGUCCACUUGUCUGUCAAGCUUUAUUUUGCUAGCCUGGUAAAACUCCUGACAAAAAUAACACUAAAAGGGUAACAGCAGUGAUCACUAGGAAAGGAAUUAGAAGGAGGUACAUUCUGUUUCUAUUUUCAUACUUUUCCUUGCUGUAUUUCUGGAAAACGGAACAUAAAUAGAAAAGAGGACAGAAUGGACGAGUAACUAGAGGACUUAGAUUUGGGUCCCAGUUUGGCUUGGCCGAAUAAUAGCUUUGGGCAAGUUACUUCACACCUCUGAGCAUUUAUGUCCUCAAAUGUACAAUGUGGAUUGGGACAAUACCACCCCAUGGUUUUAUUUCUUUGGAAGACUGAAUGAAAUGCAUUAAGCACUUUGUCCUCCACAGAGAACCGAGAAUGUCCUUGUUUCUUUUUGCUGCUCUAAACAUCACUAUGUGAUUUGAGGACCCUGGCAAUCAGUGCUGAUACAUAUCUGGCUCGAUGCACCCAAAUCCAUGAAGCUUUAUACAGCCUUCCCCCACCCCACCUCUCCUCACCCUUUGACCCCUUCACAGACACUUUUCCCAUCUCUAUGGGUGUCCCCUAACAAAAUGUCAGAAAGACCCAUGUCGUUGACUUACGCUUUUGUAUUACCGUGAACCAAUGUACUUUUUUCCCCAAGGCUAUUUGCUCUUAUAUCUUAUUCUGCAACAUCUGCCAAAGAAUUCUGUGAUGAAAGAAAUCUCAGCCCCAAAGCAACAAGCCAGGAGGAAUUCAGAUCUGGAGGAAGCCUUCCUUUCCCUCUUUUAAGAUGGUAUUUCAAAUAGAAUACUACGCAGCCAUAAAGAAGAACAAGAUCAUGUCCUCUGCAGCAACAUGGAUGGUGCUGGAGGGUAUUAUCCUAAGCAGACUGACACAGGAACAGAAAACCAAAUACUGCAUGUUCUCACUUAUAAGAGGGAGCUAAAUAUUAAGUACAUAUGGACACAAAGAAGGAAACAAUGGACACUGGGGCCUACUUGAAGGUGGAGAGUGGGAGGAGGGAGGGGAUAGAAAAACUACUCAUCAGGUGCUAUGCUAUUACUGGGUGAUGAAAAAAUCUGUACACCAAACCCCCACAACAUGUAAUUUACCUAUAUAACAAACUUGCACAUGUACCCCUGAACCUAAAAUAAAAGUUACACACACACACACACACACACACACGUAUAUAUAUAUAUAUACACACACAUAUAUAUGUGUGUGUAUAUAUAUAUGUAUAUAUAUUAAUAUAUGAAUUUUGUUUGGAGGGACACAAACCUUCAGAUUAUAGCAAUGCAAAUAUUUUUGCUUUGCAUCUUUUGUACAGUCUUAUCCACCCAGGACCUGUGCCUCUUGUCCCCACCCUCUCACUUGAAAUUUGAGGUUUAUAGGUGUUCUCAUUUUUGCCCUGAGUUCUUGCAUGCUGAUUGUGCUUUGUGCCCUGUAUAAUUGGAAGUCAGUUUUGCUAGUUAUAAAAUCCUCAACUCACAAUUUGUUCCCUUGAAUAAGUAUGGUACUCCAUUUUCUACUGGCAUACGGUGUUGCUUUCAGAAAGUUUGAUGCCAAUAUUUUUAAAUAAAUAAUAUUUUCUUUUUAUCUAAAUGUCCAUUUAAUAUUCCUUUUGCUUUAAAGUCUGAUAGAUUUCAUUAGCUUUAAAGUCCCGUAGAUUUUAUUUCUUGGAGACUGUCUUUCCAGGUUACUAUUCUCAGGUACCUGGUGUGCUCUUUCCAUAUGCAGUUUCAAAUAUAUUUUUUCAAUUUCAGGAAAGUUUCUUAAAUUAUGUAUCUCAGUAUUUGUUCUGUUCCCUUGCAUUGUUUUUUAUUUUACCAUCUAUUUUUGAAUCUUCUCUGCCUGUCUUCAAUAUUUCCACUUUCUCUUGAAUUUUUUAUUUUCUUGCUUCUUUUUAAUUUUUAAAUUUUUUAUUUAAAAAAUUUUCAUUAUGUUCAGGCAUUGUAUAUUGUGUUAAUUCUCUCUUGUAUUUAUCACAUUUUUAAUCUUGUAGUUUUUCCUAGCUUAGAUUUCAUUUUUUAAAUGAUUUUUUUAUUUCUAAAUAUUUCUUAUGUUCUUUCACCUCAUUUCUAAGCAAUCGAAUUCUGAUUUGUGUUGUGUUUUCAGAUCUUGUAUAAUUUUAUUGUAUAAUGUAGUAUGCUACAGUUUUGAUCUGUUUGUGGGCAUAGCUUUCUGGCGUGCUUUCAUCUCUAUAAGCAUGUUAUUGGUUUUUACUUCUCUUUUUUGUCUUGUAAUGUUGCGAGGGAUCUGACCUCAAUACUUUUCUGUUGUCAUUUCUAUGUGAAAUUAGUUGUCCUGAACUUUUAAAGGAAAUGUGGUUCAGGGCAAUUUUUUUUUAUUAUACUUUAAGUUCUAGGGUGCAUGUGCACAACGUGCAGGUUUGUUACAUAUGUAUACAUGGGCCAUGUCAGUGUGCUGCACCCAUUAACUCAUCAUUUACAUUAGGUAUAUCUCUUUUUCUAAUCACAUAGAGCUUCCUCAUCUGUUUUCAUAUAGUAUUCACAAAUGGUGGCUUAAUUUCUAAGAUUUCUCUGGCUGUUAUUCCAAACUCCCCCGACUCUAUACUUUUAUUUACUACCUUUAAUUUGGAUUCUCUUUCCAGGAGCUUCUUCUCAGUAUGGAGCCUGGUCCUGGCAGGGGGCUUUGGCUGUUGUCACUGAGGGCUCCUGUGGCCUGGACAGCUCCUGCCCCUUUCAGGACUCACACUGGCCUCUUACACUCACCAGCUUUUAGAGUGGUCAUGGCAGCCCCAUCUUUGCCUGCCACCUCAGCUGGUCCACUGUUUCCCAGUAAGUUCCUAUUGGCUAUUUAAGGUUUCUCCUAUUCUCAAAUCUGGGCACUCCAUUUCUAACCUCUGCUUCCUCUGGGCAGAGUUUGACCCGUGGGGACUUGGGGCUCUCAUCCCUACCCUCCGGCUUGAAAUAUGAGGUUUGUAGAUAUGCUUUGUUACCUGCCUUUUUUUUAAUUCGAUGUUGUCCAUGAGUUUUGUUUUUUUCUAUUUAGUUGCUAUGUUUGUUUUUAAUGUAAGGCAAGAUUAAAAUAUUACACUGUCACCGUUACUACCAUCCUCCCCAAAUCCCCCUGUAUUAGCUACCUAGGCUUGCUGGGUAACAAAUUGUCACAAAUUUAUUAGCAAAAGAACACACACUUGCUAUAUCACUGCUCUGUAAGUCAGAAGUCCAGGUGGGCUCGACUGGGUUCUGCACUUAAGGUCUCACAAGAUUGAAAUCAAGACAUCAGCUGAGCUGGGCUCUUAUCUAGAGAUGUUUACAUGCUUAUCUCUCUGACUUUAAAAUUUUUAUGUAAAAUUGAUUAAUACACAAAAUUAAUCCACAUAAUCUCCCUGUCUUAAGGUUGACUAAUUAUUAGCCUUAGUUACAUCUUCAAGACCCCUUUUCCAUGUAAGGUAACAUUAUUAACAGAGUAACAUCAGGAGAUGAAUGUCAUGGGGGCCAUGUUAGAAUUCUUCCUACCACAUCCUCAUUCAUUUAUUUUGAAUCCUAAGAAUUUAUUGAGAUCCUACUAUGUUCUAGGUCCUUGCAGUAAGGGUACAAUGGUGAAUAAGACAAACACGGUUCUGGUGCUAUGAGUAGAAAAUUAAUGCUGAAUGUUUAAUGAAUGGAUGACUAAAUAGAUGUGUAAAGGUCUAAAUGCACAUUCAGAAAAAAGCAACAGAAGACUGAGACUCAAUAUUAUUGAGUAUGUUUUAAAGGUCCAUGUAUCAUCUUGAAUGGAAAUGUUGCUCAACUUCUGAUGAGGAGACUAAUUCAUCAAUAUCUCUGUUAUCACUGACUGAUGACCUCGCAUAAUAAAAGAUCUUGACUUGCGUGUAUGUUAACAAUUAAUGGAAUGGGUA
rnacentral:lncRNA from 1 species